ACUGAAAUUGCUCAGUUAGGAGAGCGUUAGGCUAUAUAUCGAAAGGUCCUGGUUCGAUCUCGGGAUUCGGCA
rnacentral:tRNA from 1 species